rnacentral:rRNA from 1 species
AGGACGAACGCUGGCGGCGUGCUUAACACAUGCAAGUCGAGCGAGGCUCCUCCUUCGGGAGGAUGCCCUAGCGGCGAACGGGUGAGUAACACGUAGGCAACCUGCCCCUAGCUCUGGGAUAACUCCGGGAAACCGGGGCUAAUACCGGAUACGACCUCUGAGGGCAUCCUCCGGAGGUGGAAAGAUUUAUCGGCUAAGGAUGGGCCCAGGCCUAUCAGCUUGUUGGUGGGUAACGCCUACCAAGGCGACGACGGGUA